CGACCCUGUACAUAUAUAUAACGCAUACUGCACGCGUCUUGCACACUUCGAAGGGGAUGCACUUGAAGUAACACCGCGUCAUUGCGGAUAUAAGAGUUCUUUACUGUAUACGAAGCUACACUUGCCUGUUGAGUACACCUACACCGGAGAGAAAGUUUUGGUGUGCUGCUUUAACGUACUCCAAAGUACCGGUGCUGGAAUACAAGCUGUAGACGACACCACCGCAUUUUUCCGGAUGACAGUCUUCACGUAUGGAUGGACGUGAAGGAAAAUAUCUCUGAAACAUGUGACUUUCACC